rnacentral:rRNA from 1 species
AGAGUUUGAUCCUGGCUCAGAACGAACGCUGGCGGCGUGCUUAACACAUGCAAGUCGAACGCGAAAGUUUUCUUCGGAAAGCGAGUAGAGUGGCGCACGGGUGAGUAACGCGUAAAUAGUCUACCCUGAUGUUUGGGAUAACCAGCCGAAAGGCUGACUAAUACCGGAUAUAUGCUGCCCUGUCGGGGGCAUCAGGAAAGGUGGCCUCUAUUUAUAAGCUAUCGCAUUGGGAUGAGUUUGCGUACCAUUAGCUAGUUGGUGGGGUAACGGCCUACCAAGGCGACGAUGGUUAGCGGGUCUGAGAGGAUGAUCCGUCACACUGGCACUGGAACACGGGCCAGACUCCUACGGGAGGCAGCAGUGAGGAAUAUUGCGCAAUGGGGGAAACCCUGACGCAGCGACGCCGCGUGAGUGAGGAAGGCCUUCGGGUCGUAAAGCUCUGUCAGAUGGGAAGAAGUGUAUAUUGGUUAAUACCCAUUAUAUUUGACGUACCAUCAAAGAAGCACCGCUAACU